rnacentral:RNase_P_RNA from 1 species
GAAGCUCACUAGGCCGUCGCCGGUGCAAGCCGCAAGGUCAACGCGCAAGCGUUGGGCAGAAAUGCCGCACUGGAGGAACGUCCGGACUGCAUAGGACAGCGCAGGAGGUAACACCUCUCCACCGUGAGGUGAGGAUCAGAGCAACAGAGACGAGCCGCUUGAGUGCGGGUGAAACGGGCAAUCUCUGCGCGCAGCAAUACCAAGUAGGCCAACGUUGAGGCGGUCCGCUGAGUUGGCGGGUAGGUAGCACCGAGCCGAGUGGGUGACCCUCGGCCCAGAUUAAUGACGGUCACAGGGUGGGCAACCACUCUGCACAGAAUCCGGCGUAUCGGUGGGCUUCACAC